rnacentral:rRNA from 1 species
CCUGAUGCAGGCCAUGCCGCGUGUAUGAAGAAGGCCUUCGGGUUGUAAAGUACUUUCAGUCGUGAGGAAGGGUGUGAUCAGUUAAUAGCGUACCUCUUGACGUUAGCGACAGAAGAAGCACCGGCUAACUCCGUGCCAGCAGCCGCGGUAAUACGGAGGGUGCGAGCGUUAAUCGGAAUUACUGGGCGUAAAGCGCAUGCAGGCGGUUAGUUAAGCGAGAUGUGAAAGCCCGGGGCUCAACCUCGGAACAGCAUUUCAAACUGGCUAACUAGAGUCUUGUAGAGGGGGGUAGAAUUUCAGGUGUAGCGGUGAAAUGCGUAGAGAUCUGAAGGAAUACCGGUGGCGAAGGCGGCCCCCUGGACAAAGACUGACGCUCAGAUGCGAAAGCGUGGGGAGCAAACAGGAUUAGAUACCCUGGUAGUCCACGCCGUAAACGAUGUCUACUUGGAGGUUGUGGCCUUGAGCCGUGGCUUUCGGAGCUAACGCGUUAAGUAGACCGCCUGGGGAGUACGGUCGCAAGAUUAAAACUCAAAUGAAUUGACGGGGGCCCGCACAAGCGGUGGAGCAUGUGGUUUAAUUCGAUGCAACGCGAAGAACCUUACCUACUCUUGACAUCCAGAGAAGCCAGCGGAGACGCAGGUGUGCCUUCGGGAGCUCUGAGACAGGUGCUGCAUGGCUGUCGUCAGCUCGUGUUGUGAAAUGUUGGGUUAAGUCCCGCAACGAGCGCAACCCUUAUCCUUGUUUGCCAGCANGUAAU